AUAAAUAUAUUUUGUUUCAGAACUCAGGUUAAUAAGUAGAGAUAACUGAAGGUUAAAUAAUAAAUAUAUUUUGUUUCAGAACUCAGGUUUCCAUCAGUCCUUCAUUAUACACAGGACAGCUUGAUGUGCAGAAUGAGAAAGAUAUAGAAUUGAGACAAAGGAGAAAGUUCAGCAUAACCAGUCGGCAAAAUAUGGCAGGCAUAGAUGAAGAAAAAGAAGCAAUUGUGUAAUGCUACAAAUAAUAAUUUGUUUAACCAAAACAAGGAAAAUAAAAUCUAAACUAUUUAA